UAAGAAUCCAUUGCACUCACAUUUCUAGAAAGGGACUAACUUGAGAUUUCCGAACCAAAAUGGGGACAAAAUUGGGUAUUAUGCCGAAAAAAAAUAUAUAAAAUCACUGUACCGUCUCUUAUUUCCCACAAACUCACUCUGAGUUUUUUCAUACAAACUAAUUAUCAAUGGCGGCAAGCGCACUGUACAGUGGAACUGUGUUUGUUCCUCCUCUCUACCAUAAAACCCCUAAACAUGUUCGCUAUGUUCGCUCUAUCUGCUUCAAUCCUUCUAUUAGCCUCCCUAGGUCAAGAUUUUGUGCAAUAGUGGCAGCACCGUCGCUUUCUCGUCGGGUGUUUAGAGUACAUGGGUUGAUGGAUGAUGAAUCUGGGACUGCCCCAAAACCAGAAUCACCAAAUUCUGAAGCGAGUGCUAGUAUUGACUUGAAUCUUCCAAGACGAAGUUUGCUUGUACAGUUUACAUGUUGUGAGUGUGGUGAAAGAACAAAGAGGCUAGUGAACCGGCUAGCUUAUGAAAGGGGUGCUGUUUUUGUUCAGGGAGGCACCAUUGACUAAAACAUGAUUACAAAGAAAGUGAUCAAAAGAUCAGAAUGAUGCGAACUAAAAAAGGAUGAAUACAGGAUGAUGGUUGGUUUAACUCCCUUGAAGUCAGGCAUCUUGAUAACUUUCAUGCAUCAGUAGUCUGACCGAGUAAGCAACUCUCUUUGUAGUGACUCCAGGUAGGAAUCUUACCUGCUGAUACUCUUAUGGAAUUGGGAAUCUGUUUUGAGAUAUGGACAUUGAGAGCAACUAACUGCCAUUAUUUCAAAGCUUAUUUAUAGAUGGAGACCUGGUUCCUGGUAAAGCAUCAUUCUCUGGGCAAGACUAAGAGGUUGAAAGAAAGAAUUAGAUAGCUCACCAUCUACUGAAGUUGAUUCCUUGUCUUUGAUUAUGGAGAUUGAGUUUCACAACCCAGCUCCCCCGCUUGAAAGCUUCCUCUUUAUGACAUACCUGCCUUUCCCACCAUUACAAGCAAGCCCUCUUUUUGGUUAUUUCUAAAAAAAAGAAUUGAUUGACAAAUCUCCAUGUUAACUCCUCUAAUGGAUUUCUUGGCUUGAAACUUUCAGUUCUCUUACUCCACUACAGAGCUUUCCCUCAUAUGGUACGCUUUAUAGAAGGUUCUUUCUGUCCAAUACGGGCCAGCAACUCUCUCAGCUGGAAGAAGAUUAACUGCAUUGCCAAAUUCCAACUCUGCUUUUAGCUCCGUGCCAUAUGAAACGCCACGUUUAUGUGUAUUUGGCAUAUUAAUACGCAACAUAUCUUUAUUCUGUAAAUUAUUAGCAUGGAAUACCAAAUUUUCUCUCACAACAAAAUAAAAUUCCCAGCCAUUUACCCU